GACGAACGCUGGCGGCGUGCUUAACACAUGCAAGUCGAGCGAGAAACCUUCGGGUUUCUAGCGGCGGACGGGUGAGUAACACGUGGGUAACCUGCCUCAAAGAGGGGGAUAGCCUUCCGAAAGGAAGAUUAAUACCGCAUAAUAUUACAGUUUCGCAUGAAGCAGUAAUUAAAGGAGUAAUCCGAUUUGAGAUGGACCCGCGGCGCAUUAGCUAGUUGGAGAGGUAACGGCUCACCAAGGCAACGAUGCGUAGCCGACCUGAGAGGGUGAUCGGCCACAUUGGAACUGAGACACGGUCCAGACUCCUACGGGAGGCAGCAGUGGGGAAUAUUGCACAAUGGGCGAAAGCCUGAUGCAGCAACGCCGCGUGAGUGAUGAAGGUCUUCGGAUUGUAAAGCUCUGUCUUUUGGGACGAUAAUGACGGUACCAAAGGAGGAAGCCACGGCUAACUACGUGCCAGCCGCCGCCGUAAAAC
rnacentral:rRNA from 1 species